GUGCAAUCUCAGCUCGCUGCAACCUCCGCCUCCCAGUUUCAAGUGACUCUCCUGCCUCAGCCUCCCGAGUAGCUGGGAUUAUAGGCGUGAGCAACCACGCCUGGCUGAUUUUUGUAUUUUUAGUAGAGAUGGGGUUAUGCCAUGUUGGUCAGGCUGGUCUCGAACUCCUGGCUUCAAGCGAUCCACCUGCCUUGGCCUCCCCAAGUGCUGGGAUUACAGGCGUGAGCCACCGCACCUGACCCGGUAAUAUUUUUUACUUAGGAAAAUAUCAAACAAAUUAGAAUGUGUUACCUACCUAAGUGAUAAGUGGCAAGGUCAAAGAUCUACCCAUUUUAUUAUUAAAGGAUCAUGCUAGCCAUAGCCAAUGAUCAAGUUAGCUUAUUUCUUAGAUGAAACAUAACCAGCAGAGGGCACUGGAACCCAGUAAAAUAAAGUUGAGACAUUAGCAGAGCUCAACUACAGAAGUGACAAGAGAAACAAGCCACUUAAAAAUAAAAAAUCAAUAUAAAACGUUACUGCUCGCCCUCUCCCGUCUCCCUCUCCCUCUCCCGUCUCCCUCUCCCGUCUCCCUCUCCCUCUCCCGUCUCCCUCUCCCUCUCCCUCUCCCGUCUCCCUCUCCCGUCUCCCUCUCCCUCUCCCGUCUCCCUCUCCCGUCUCCCUCUCCCUCUCCCGUCUCCCUCUCCCUCUCCCGUCUCCCUCUCCCUCUCCCGUCUCCCUCUCCCUCUCAUGCCGAGCCAAAGCUGGACGGUACUGCUGCCAUCUCGGCUCACUGCAACCUCCCUGCCUGAUUCUCCUGCCUCAGCCUGCCGAGUGCCUGCGAUUGCAGGCGCGCGCCGCCACGCCUGACUGGUUUUCGUUUUUUUUUGGUGGAGAUGGGGUUUCGCUGUGUUGGCCGGGCUGGUCUCCAGCUCCUAACCGCGAGUGAUCCGCCAGCCUCGGCCUCCCGAGGUGCCGGGAUUGCAGAUGGAGUCUCGUUCACUCAGUGCUCAAUGGUGCCCAGGCUGGAGUGCAGUGGCGUGAUCUCGGCUCGCUACAACCACCUCCCAGCCGCCUGCCUUGGCCUCCCAAAGAGCCGAGAUUGCAGCCUCUGCCCGGCCGCCACCCCGUCUGGGAAGUGAGGAGCGUCUCUGCUUGGCCACCCAUCGUCUGGGAUGUGAGGAGCCCCUCUGCCUGGCUGCCCAGUGUGGAAAGUGAGGAGCGUCUCUGCCCGGCCGCCAUCCCAUCUAGGAAGCGAGAAGCGCCUCUUCCCCGCCGCCAUCCCAUCUAGGAAGUGAGGAGCGUCUCUGCCCGGCCGCCCAUCGUCUGAGAUGUGGGGAGCACCUCUGCCCCACCGCCCUGUCUGGGAUGUGAGGAGCGCCUCUGCUGGGCCGCAACCCUGUCUGGGAGGUGAGGAGUGUCUCUGCCCGGCCGCUCCGUCUGAGAAGUGAGGAAACCCUCUGCCUGGCAACCGCCCCGUCUGAGAAGUGAGGAGCCCCUCCGUCUGGCAACCACCCCGUCUGGGAAGUGAGGAGCGUCUCCGCCCGGCAGCCACCCCGUCCGGGAGGGAGGUGGGGGGGGUCAGCCCCCUGCCCGGCCAGCCGCCCCGUCCGGGAGGUGAGGGGCUCCUCUGCCCGGCCGCCCCUACUGGGAAGUGAGGAGCCCCUCUGCCCGGCCAGCCGCCCCGUCCGGGAGGGAGGCGGGGGGGGGGGGGGGGGGUCGGCCAGCCGCCCCGGCCGGGAGGUGAGGGGCUCCUCUGCCCGGCCGCCCCUACUGGGAAGUGAGGAGCCCCUCUGCCCGGCCAGUCGCCCCGUCCAGGAGGGAGGUGGGGGGGUCAACCCCCCGCCCGGCCAGCCGCCCAGUCCGGGAGGGAGGUGGGGGGUCAGCCCCCCGCCUGGCCAGCCGCCCCGUCCGGGAGGUGAGGGGCGCCUCUGCCCGGCCGCCCCUACUGGGAAGUGAGGAGCCCCUCUGCCCGGCCAGCCGCCCCGCCCAGGAGGGAGGUGGGGGGGUCAGCCCCCCGCCUGGCCAGCCGCCCCAUCCGGGAGGGAGGUGGGGGGGUCAGCCCCCCGCCCGGCCAGCCGCCCCGUCCGGGAGGGGGGAGGGGGGGUCAGCCCCCUGCCCGGCCAGCCGCCCCGUCCGGGAGGGAGGUGGGGGGGGUCAGCCCCCCGCCCGGCCAGCCGCCCCGUCCGGGAGGGAGGUGGGGGGAUCAGCCCCCUGCCUGGCCAGCCGCCCCGUCCGGGAGGUGAGGGGCGCCUCUGCCCGGCCGCCCCUACUGGGAAGUGAGGACCCCUCUGCCCGGCCAGCCGCCCCGUCCGGGAGGGAGGUGGGGGGAACAGCCCCCCGCCCGGCCAGCCGCCCUAUCCAGGAGGUGAGGGGCGCCUCUGCCCGGCCGCCCCUACUGGGAAGUGAGGAGCCCCUCUGCCUGGCCAGCCGCCCCGUCCGGGAGGGCGGUGGGGGGGUCAGCCCCCCGCCCGGCCAGCCGCCCCAUCUGGGAGGUGAGGGGCACUUCUGCCGGGCCGCCCCUACUGGGAAGUGAGGAGCCCCUCUGCCCGGCCACGACCCCGUCUGGGAGGUGUGCCCAGCGGCUCAUUGGGGAUGGGCCAUGAUGACAAUGGCGGUUUUGUGGAAUAGAAAGGCGGGAAGGGUGGGGAAAAAAUUGAGAAAUCGGAUGGUUGCUGGGUCUGUGUGGAUAGAAGUAGACAUGGGAGACUUUUCAUUUUGUUCUGUACUAAGAAAAAUUCUUCUGCCUUGGGAUCCUGUUGAUCUGUGACCUUAUCCCCAACCCUGUGCUCUCUGAGACAUGUGCUGUGUCCACUCAGGGUUAAAUGGAUUAAGGGCGGUGCAAGAUGUGCUUUGUUAAACAGAUGCUUGAAGGCAGCAUGCUCGUUAAGAGUCAUCACCACUCCCUAAUCUUAAGUACCCAGGGACACAAACACUGCGGAAGGCAGCAGGGUCCUCUGCCUAGGAAAACCAGAGACCUUUGUUCACUUGUUUAUCUGCUGACCUUCCCUCCACUAUUGUCCUAUGACCCUGCCAAAUCCCCCUCUGCGAGAAACACCCAAGAAUGAUCAAUAAAAAUAAAAAAUAAAAA
rnacentral:lncRNA from 1 species